rnacentral:tRNA from 1 species
GAGGGCAUAGCUCAAGUGGUAGAGCACAUGCUUAGCAUGCAUGAGGUCCUGGGUUCAAUUCUCGGUACCUUCU